rnacentral:rRNA from 1 species
CCUACGGGUGGCAGCAGUGGGGAAUAUUGGGCAAUGGAGGAAACUCUGACCCAGCAACGCCGCGUGAAUGAUGAAGGUCUUCGGAUUGUAAAGUUCUUUUCUCAGGGAAGAGGAGAGUAACGUUACCGUAGAAAUAAGCCUGGGCUACCUACUUGCAAGCAGCCGCGGUAAUACGUAGGAGGCGAGCGUUAUCCGGAAUGACUGGGCGUAAAGGGUGGGUAGGUGGUUUGGCAAGUUAGUAGCGUAACUCGAAGGCUGAACCGUGGAACUACUACUAAAACUGUUGUACUUGAGUGCAGGAGGGGCAGAUGGAAUUCCUAGUGUAGCGGUGGAAUGCGUAGAUAUUAGGAGGAACACCAGUGGCGAAGGCGGGUUGCUAGACUGCAACUGACAGUGAGGCACGAAAGCGUGGGGAGCAAACAGGAUUAGAUACCCCUGUAGUC